rnacentral:rRNA from 1 species
AUGGAUCCUGGCUUAAAUCUAUAUGGCCCCUGGAUUGGACUGCGGCCGAUCAGGCUGUUGGUGAGGUAAUGGCCCACCAAACCUAUAACCGGUACGGGCUCUGAGAGGAGAAGCCCGGAGAUGGGCACUGAGACAAGGGCCCAGGCCCUAUGGGGCGCAGCAGGCGCGAAACCUCUGCAAUAGGCGAAAGCCUGACAGGGUUACUCUGAGUGAUUUCCGCUAAGGGGAUCUUUUGGCACCUCUAAAAAUGGUGCAGAAUAAGGGGUGGGCAAGUCUGGUGUCAGCCGCCGCGGUAAUACCAGCACCCCGAGUGGUCGGGACGAUUAUUGGGCCUAAAGCAUCCGUAGCCGGUUGUGCAAGUCUUCCGUUAAAUCCAGCCGCUCAACGGAUGGGCUGCGGAGGAUACUACAGGACUAGGAGGCGGGAGAGGCAAGCGGUACUUAGUGGGUAGGGGUAAAAUCCUUUGAUCCAUUGAAGACCACCAGUGGCGAAGGCGGCUUGCCAGAACGCGCUCGACGGUGAGGGAUGAAAGCUGGGGGAGCAAACCGGAUUAGAUACCCGGGUAGUCCCAGCUGUAAACGAUGCAGACUCGGUGAUGGGCUAGCCUUGAGUCAGCCCAGUGCCGCAGGGAAGCCGCUA